rnacentral:rRNA from 1 species
UACGGGGGGGGCAAGCGUUGUUCGGAAUUACUGGGCGUAAAGGGCUCGUAGGCGGCCAACUAAGUCGGACGUGAAAUCCCUCGGCUUAACCGGGGAACUGCGUCCGAUACUGGAUGGCUUGAGUUCGGGAGAGGGAUGCGGAAUUCCAGGUGUAGCGGUGAAAUGCGUAGAUAUCAGGAGGAACACCUGUGGCGAAAGCGGCUCACUGGACCACAACUGACGCUGAUGCACGAAAGCUAGGGGAGCAAACAGG